GUAGGAGUGAGCCUGCUCGCGAUGGCGUCAUCCGCCGCACCGUCCGAAACCGAGUUGUCCCAAUCGCGAGCAGGCUCACUCCUAC
rnacentral:misc_RNA from 1 species